AAUCACAAAGAUAAAAACACAGUCCGGUUGGUAGUCCGGGCGCGGCGACGCCGUCAGUAACCUGCCUCCUUGGUUGUCCGUUCUUUAGUGAUUUUACU
rfam:Eubacterium limosum KIST612, complete genome.